GAAAUUUUCACUUAUAUGAAAAAUCUAGGUCUUCCUACAAAAGUUUGGUGUCUUGAUUUAAAAUAUUUACAAUUGUGAUAUUAAUGAAAUUAAAUCUCAUGUUACUGAUGAAAAGAUAUGAUACCUUGCACAUAUUUGGAGGGCAGAGGUUGCAGCCAUGGGAACUCUUUGUGAAAUCAUGGUAAGGGAUGAUCCUCAGCCUCCCUUCUUCAUCAACAAAGCCGGCGUUGGUGUUGAUCUCUGAGAAAUAUUCCCUCAAUCCAGGAUAUUCCAGAAUUGUCUCAAUGAAGAACAUGUUCGCAUCACUCACAAUCCUGAGUUCACACCUGAAAAAAUAUUCAAACCAAUUUGAUCACCUUAAAUUUCUAUUGCUUCAAACUGUAGUUUUUAUAGUCACAGGUCAAACACCAAGUGGAGAAGCAUAGAAAAAAAGGAGUACCCUAAAGAAUGAGCUGAUUUAAUAGCGGGGACGAUCCUAAGAUGGAUAGGAGCUCGUUUCAGAACCUCAGCAAUGUCAUCAAUGGUUUUUCCUUGGGCAUGAAGCUCCUUCAUCAUCCUGUCCUGUAAUUUUAAACCACAAACACUGAGUUUCAUUUUUUAUAAAUGUAAAGCCAACAGAAACAGAAAUUGUAGAGGGCUUGAUAUUGGUUACCAUGAGAGAAUUCCAGGGCAUGGUAGAAAGAAGCUGGUUGAACAAGUUGGUGAAACCCAAGUCAUCGACAACCCAGUUAUCACUAUCACAGUCGAUGAUGGUUUUGUCAAAAUCAAAAACCACAACAAUUCCAGCCAUCUCUCUGAAUGAAAAUCAAACAAAAUGCAAAACAAGAUUGGAAAAACUCAACAACUGUUUGAAUGUUUUCUUGUUGGUAUAGGUCACGUAACUGGCGAGGGGUAUUUAUAUGCAAAGAAUGGAUUUUUUUAUGCCAAAGGAAUAUUACGUGAAGGGGUUAUUAGGUGCAAGGAGGAAGCACUAAGCAGGCCACAAGAAGCCCUUUUUCCUGCAAGCUUCCUACUCAACACAUACUAAUCUAAUACAACUGCUUGUAAAUUAUUUCUCUGGUAUAAGCAAUAUUAACCGUUUGAUGGAUGACUAUUGACCGUGUGAUCAAUCAAGUUUAGUCAGCGGAUCAGGGGUAAAAGGGUGUGGGUUAAUUAUGAAAGGGAUUAGGUUCAAGGUUUAAGGUUUAUCACACUUCUCUCCAUUGCUCCAUUCGCAUAAUUGUGCCUUUACUAUCCUCCUGUUUUUGCAAAUCAAAUCCAAAACUGGGAAAUUCUUCGUUGUCAUUACAUAGUCCCCAUCUCCCAGAUUCAAACUUGGACAGAAAUUGCCAAGCCCAUCGCCGACGUAGAUUAUUGUUUUCUUCUCCUCCACGGGCAUGAGAGAGACUUGGAUCCUUCCAAUCACAAUACCCUAUUAAGAAAGAAUUCAAUCAUUAGUCCAUAGGAUGGGAAGAAAAUGAAGAUAACUUAUAUCUUACAGCUAAUCAUGCUUUGGAUUCAUUACGUUUACUAAACAUUAGAAUUCAGUGGCGGAUGCAUAUGGUAUAGUCGGGUAUUGAUGUACUCCUCCAAAGGUUGGAAAAUCAAAAACGUUUUCUUUGGACACCUUCAAAUUUUCUUUUUGAACAUAUCUUUCUUAAUUCCUUAUUCCUUAAUCCUUCACUCACUGCCACUAUCUAAUAUCCAAUCACAUCACACUGUCAGUUAAUGCCCAACACCCAAUAAGCAUCCACUAUAUUAAAUGGACACCUCCAUAAAAAAAUUUCUUGCAUCUGCUACUGUUAGAAUUCAGUCAUAUUUGAUGCAUGCAUGCAUGGUUCAUGUUGUUAUUAACUAAUAUGAUUUUCAAGUUAAAAAUGAUAUACCUUGCACAUGUUUGGAGGGCAGGGAUGAUGAAAUCCAUGAGUAGAUUGAGUGAAAUCAUGGUGAGCAAAGAUCCUUAGCGUGCCUUCUUCAUUUACCAAACCUGGUUUGGUAUUGAUCUCUGAAAAGCAUUCCCUCAGGCCAUGAUGCUUCAAAAUUGUGUCGAUGAAGAACACGUUCGCAUCGCAUACAAUCUUCAAACCACACCUGAAACUAAUAAUGCCACAUGAGUAUUUUUUUUUCUGGCGAGAAAACCAGAAAGAAAAAUUAAAUAUAAGUACCGGCAGGACUGUAGUUGGCAGGAAGGAAACUCCUAAAGCUAAGAAAUGUUGCCAGAGAGCUUAUAAAGUGUAUGGUCCUUUAAUUGCUUCUUCCGACAGAGAAUAAUAUCACAGGCUGCAAUCCCUGAGAACGCAACCGCGGCUUCCGCUGUCUCAACAAACGAUUGGAUUCAAUAUCUCACUACUUCUCUACAGACGAAGGAUUUGCACCAGAUGUUGGCUGGUCUGAUCUUCACUAAAGAAGAAGAUGUUGUUUGGCAGGCAUCAAAGUCUGGCAUGUUCAUACUUUCAAAUACAUGGGACUGGAUCCGGGAUAGGCAAUCAACUCUGGUUUGGCAUAAAUUGGUCAGGAAUUCCUCUUCACUCCCUAGACAUAGUUUUAUCACUUGGCUUGUGGUUCUUAAUUUAUUGAGCACACUAGCUAAUAUUAGGAGAUUCUGAGAGGAGCGUGAACAACAAGUAUAAAUAUAUCAAAUAUGCCAUGCGAGGAAUUCUCCAAAACUUGACGUUUGUUCUUCAAAUAUUGACAAAGUCUUUCCUAGACAUUAGUUUUAAUGUAAAGUUUUGCCAUUUAAAAUUUGUAAAAAAAAAUGAAUAAUCCAUUUAUUAGCUCUGUCUGUGAAAAAUUGAAGGAUUGUAUAGGAAAUGCUAAAGCUUAUUCUUUGAUUUGUUGACUGGUAGCCUCCUACUUCUUUGGAUCAAAGAAAUACCGAAUGAAAAAAAAAAAAAAAACUAAAUAUAUACGAACACUGAGAAAAUUGGCCUAAAGCAUGAGUCGAAUUUAAUGGCUUGGAUAAUUCGGGGAUGUAUUGGAAUUGUUUUUAGAACAGCUACAAUGUCAUCAAUGUUUGUUCCUUGUGAAUGAAUUUCUUUCAUCAUUAGAUCCUGUUUUGUACAUAAAAAAAUAAGCCCUAGUUCUUACAUUUGGAAAAGAAAGAAGAAGGAAAACAAAUAAAUUAAAAGACUAACAAUAAGAGAGUUCCAAGGCAUGGUAGAGAGGAGUUGAUUGAACAACUAUGUAGCUAGUCUAGGAUUUAUGAAACCCAAAAUUCAGAUUAGUUGAUUUAUAAAAUUACUCUUAAAAGAUGAUAUUUAUCUGUAACUUAAAUCUCAAUAUUUAUAAUCAUUUUUCGUACUCUUGAAUGGCCUCCUAAAUAAAAAAAAAAGAGUCUAUAAUAAGAAAUUAAGUAUGCUUAAUUUGUUUGAAUUAUCAAGUUACUUGAUCCUAAGUUUUAAAAUUUUUAACUUUUUUAAUAUAUGUUCAGAUUUUAAAUUAUAUAAUUAGAGACAAGUAAUUUAUAAUUAUAUUUCACAUAAAAAUCAUUUCUAGUGUAUAAGAUUUAAAUUAAAAUUAAAAUUUUAAAUUCUUUCUAAUAAUUAUAUCAUGUAAAAUCAAAAUAUAUUUAAAUUGAUACUUUUUCUAAUUCUUCAUCGCUUUAUUAUUGAAAUAAUUAAUCUAUAUAAGUAUAUACCAUAUAUAUUCAUAUCCACAAUGCCUUUUUAUAAAAGUGAGAAAAUUAUCAUCAAAGAAGAAUCAAAGAAUGUGCAAAGAAUAUUAAGCAAUACUUAAGUCCAAGUUAUUAUAGCCUAAUCAAUGAUCCAGCCAAUAAGUAUCAUUAGUAAAAAAAAACCUAAAGAAGAAAAUAAAAGAAACCUUAUCAACAACUUUUUUUGAUAGUUUUCUUUGACAAAGGAAAAAAAGGGAAAAUUUUAAGAAAUACUCGAGAAGAAGAAGAGAGGAAGAGAUAGCGCAAAUCAAUUCUAGAAAUCACUGAUUAAAAUAAAAUUUUGCUUAAAACUCUUGAAAUUUUUUUGUUUUAUACAAUUUUCUACAAAUCCCAAGUUAUAUUUUUAUAUAUUUUCAACUUCAAAAACAUUUCAACGACUUUCUAGUGACAAUUUGAUGAAAUUAUAGGUACUAAUGGAAAUGACUCUUCAAGACUUUUCUAAUGGUAUGUGUAGUAUUUCAUUUAGUUAAGCAAUGUAGGAGAAUUUAGUGUUUUAAAUUUUUUAUUUUUACGUUUUUGAUAAUUAUAGAUGUCCAACUUUGACCCAUUGAAACUCUUUACUCUGGUGGCCGAUUUGGUUGAACUUUUUGUGCUUUUGAUAGUACAAAAUGUGAACUUUCUAUUAGUAUAAUUGGUUUGUUCAGAUGAUUUAUAGGCUAAAAGAAUCGAAGCUCCAAAAUAGGUUUUAUGAAUCUAAAACUCAAAAAAUCAAGGUUGUUUAUGAUGAUUUGUCAAGUUUUGACCAUCGAAACUUUGGCUUUUGGAAAUUAUUUUUGCUAAAACAAAAUUCUAUGUUGUAGUAUUACAUCCCUACUUUAAAUUUGCGCUUCAUUUUGUCAUUAGGAACUGUAGAAUGUUCAAGUUUUUGUGGCUCAAAUUAAGCCAAAUGAUCACAUAAUUUAAAAUUUCUUGUUUUUAAUUAUUUUAAAAAUUAUUUUCAGCCAAUAUUUAAUGUAUUUAGUUAUAAAUUACUUAAAUUUUAGUUAUAGUAUUUUUAAUGAAUUUUUACUUAUUUUAAUAUAUUUUAUUGUGUUAAUUUCAUAUUAUUAGUGUUGUUAAAAGACUAUUAAAUUAUAUUUAGAUUUACAAAAAAAAAAAUGAUUACUAUUAAAUGUUAAAAAUUAAAUAUUUGAAAAAAUUAAUUUUUAUGUUUUAAUCCUUAAUUUCAUAUUUAUAGUCCAUUCUAGGUAUUUUGCUAUAUUAAAAUAAAAUUUAUUUUAUAUGCUAAAAGAAAAUAUUUUCAAAUAGUUUCGAAUUAUCAAAAGAUUUGCUACAUAACUCAAUUUGCUUAGGAUAACCCAUGAAAGGUUUGCCUCAUUAAAUUUAUGUUUUUGGGUUAAAUUCUAAUUUUUGAAUAUUUCUUGAGUUAUUAGGAUAUCAAGAUAAUUGAGUAAUUCACUGUUUAAGUUUUAGUUUAGCGUAUUAGGUAAGUGACUUAAUAUCCCUUUGAUUUCUAUGUCCCUAAAAAUCAGUCUUAAUAUAUUUAAAGUUGAAAUAUAUAAUAUAUAUUGUUUUGUCCAUUUAUUUUAUAAAUUAGGUUGAGCAUGUAAAAUGUAUCUAUGAUUUCUUUGUUAUGAGUUUGGAAUAUGGUUUGACAUUAUUUUGAUUUCUGAAUAUGAUUUCUGAAUAAUAUAUUUAUAUAUCCAUAAUUUGUCAAAAUAUAAAAUUUUGCUUUGGAAUGAUUAUGGAAAUUACUUUGUAUAGAUUAUAUUUUGAGAAAAUUUAUAAAUAUUGAAUUUGUAUAUAUUGGGUAAUCUAAAAAUAUAUUAUAGUUUUGUCUCAUAGUAUGGUUAUGUUCUGACCCUAUUAAUGGGGAUUAAUUGUUGGCUAUGUUUGUAAUAACUCUAGAUCCGGAGAUCUAUUGCUAGACAUUGAUUUAAGGAGUCGUCAUCAAUCUUUUUUAUCUAGGUGCGAUUGGUCACCUAUGGAAUCUAUCCUUUUAAGGAACACCAAGCCUAAGGGUCCCUAAGAGAAUAUGUUCAGGUCUACUAACCAAAAUAGGAUUUGAGAGUACGAUUACGUGUGAGGAAUGUUAUAGUACCCUCACAACGCCCAUCGAAAGAUGGCACCAGCUUAAUUUUGUGUUAUCUAAUAAGCUUUAAAAAUUUACUAAGUAAUUAAUUAUUGAAAAUUAUUUUCAAUUGACUUUAAUACUUUUAGCAGAAAAUUGAGAAAAUUUCCUCACCUCAAGAGUAUGCAAGGAAACUACUAUUUCACUUAUAAAAGCUCCGUCGUCAGAUUAUUUAACAAUAAAAAAAAUUCAAGAAACAAAAAGGAAAAGAAAUAAAAUGGAAAAAAAAAAGAUUCAGCUUUAGAUAUAAGUCAUUUUCUUUUCAAAAACUCAUUGCUUUUGUACAAGAAAAAUUGAUACUUUCAACUUUUACUCGAAAAUAUUUUUUAGAAAACUUAUUUUCAAGGAAAAUUGAUACUUUCAACUUUUCCUCAAAAAUAUAUAUUUUUUGAAAUUUUAUUUAAAGAAAAUCAAAAAAUAAAAUAAAAUAAAAUAAAAUAAAAAUAAAAUAAGGAAUACUAAAUAAUUCUAAUCUAAUCAAUAAAUAAUAAUAAUAAUAAUAAUAAUAAUAAAAGAAAUAAUAAUAAUAAUAAAUAAGAAAAAAAACUUUUGGAACGGCUCGACUCGGCUGGGAAAUAGCUCAGCUCAAGACAGUAAAGGUGGCUCUCGAAGACGCGGCUCGGGGACAUUGGCUCGGCUUGGCUCUCGGGAUCGACUAGCAUGCGGGUUAACGAAUCGGGUCGCGAUCGGGUCGAGUCAGUCCAAACAAAAACACGUAAAUCUUGGUAGCAUACUAACACUAAAACGACGUCAUUUUGUGCAUGUAUAAAAUGCAAAGAAUGAGUUUUUUCUUCAGAUGCGCCUUCCUACUUCUCUCUCUUUUCUUCUGUUUCUCUUUCUUCUCUUUACCCAAAGAGCACAACCCAGAAUUCGAUUGAAUUUUCAUCGGAUUCUAAAAAAUAAUACCGAAAACAUCAAAGUUGGCAAAAAAACUCGUCAAAAAAUUUAAGGUUCACCAAAAAAUUUCGUCGAAUUCUGAAAAAUUUUCAGAAAAUUUCUAGAAAAAAAACUUCAAAAAUUCUAAAAACAAUUUUACAAAUUCCUAAAGCUGUAUCUAAUGCACCAGAACCUUUUUUAGCUUCUGUUUUCUCUCUGUGUGUUUUUUCGUGUCAAUUGGAUUUUGUUUCAACACCUAUUUAUAGGGAUUGAUCAAAAGAGUUUUUGAUCAAUCCCAAUUCCCUCUGGGAUUUGGAUUCAAUCUUUGAAUCUAAUCCCAACUCUUUCAGUCCCCUGAUUUACAACCAAGCUCCCUUCUAGAACUAAGAAUUAUAAUUAAAAUAGAAUUAAGACCGAAUAAACCAACACAAAAAAAGAUAAAUAUACAUUGAUAUAAAAAUAUAUUAAUAGAUAAAUAAAAAUAAUAGUAAUAGAUAAAUAUAAAAAAUAUAAAUUAAUAGAUAAAUAAUAAAAAAUAUAUUAAUAAAUAAUAAAACAUAUAUAUUAAUAGAUAAAUAAAAAAGAUAAAUAGAUAAAUAAUAAUAAAAAAUAUAUAUUUAUAAAUAAAUAAAUAAAAUAAAAAUACAAAUGGGCUUACUCAUUUGGACUAGGCCCAAUUGAUCCAGGCUUGGACCAAAUUGAGUGUCUACAACUACCCCUCUUUAUGCAUUUUCUAUGAAACAUAAAUUCUGUGAAGGCGUAGACACCCAUUCAAGACUCAACUGGAUUUUUUUCCUUUUUUAUCUUUUUUAUUUUUUUAUUUUUUUUUUAAAUUUUGAUCAAAGCUCCUCUAAGUAGUGGCUCAAUGACUUUGAGAAAUAUAAACAAAGCUCCUCUAAAUAGAGGCUCAACGAUUUUGAAAAAUAUAAACAAAGCUCCUCUAAUCAGAGGCUUAAUAACUUUGAAAAAUAAAUUACUCCUUUAAACAGAGGCAACCACGACUUUGGAAAAGUAAACAAAGUUCCUCUAAACAGAGGCUCAAUGACUUUGAAAAAUAAAUAAAGCUCCUAUAAUCAGAGGCUCAAUGACUUUGGAAAAAUAAAUAAAGCUCCUCUAAUCAGAGGCUCAAAGACUUUUGAAAAAUAAAUAAAGCUCCUCUAAAUAGAGGCUCAACAACUUUUGAAAAAUAAAUAAAGCUCUUCUAAUCAGAGGCUCAAUAACUUUUGAAAAAUAAAUAAAACACCUCUAAUCAAAGGCUCAACGACUUUGAAAAAAUAACUGCUCCUCUAAACAGAGGCUCAACGACUUUUGAAAAAUAAAUAAAGCUCUUAUAAUCAGAGGAUCAAUGACUUUGAAAAAAUAAAUAAAGCUCCUCUAAACAGAGGGACCACAACUUUGGAAAAGUAAAUGUUCCUUGACGAUCAUAUCCAAAGGAGUUAAAAAUCGUAUUUGAAGGAAUUUUAGGAGAUUAUGCCCAAAGGUCUUACAAAUCAAUCAUGAUACUGAGAGAUGUCUUUUUUAAGGGAUUAGAAAUUUACCUGACAAGCUUUUUCUCAAAUUUGAAAAUGUCUUCACAUCUGUCUUCUCUAUGUGGGAUUUUGGAAUACCCUUGCUUCUUGAAUUUAUGCACUAUAUUUUCUUGAAUGUAGUAUAUGUUAUGCAAUGCGUGUGAAAUUCAAUGCAUGCUAGGCAAAUGUUGGCUAAUUAAUUCCUAUUCAAUUGUGGUAAUUAAGUUUCUCAAGCUCUUUUCUUGGGCCUCGAACCCUUGAUUCUUCAAAGAUCAAGUUACGUUAUUCUUCUAAGAUCGAGCCAGUGUAACUCUAAAUCAUCUUUUUCAUUUAGUUCUCACAUUCUUUCUGUAAAAAAAUCUCUUUUCGAAUUUAAUGUCCUUGUCAAGAACUGAACAUAUCAAAUUUGCCUUUAUCACUCUUGACCUUUCCAAUGUAAUGUAGUAAUCUUUCAUGUUAUUAUUUAUUUAUCAAUCAUUAUUUCAAUAUCAAAAAGUAAGAAUGUAUUCACAUAUUUCUUCCAUUGCAAGGUAUUAAUGAGAAAAUAAUAAGAAUGAUUAGGAAACAAUCAACAAAAAAGACACACAAAGAGUGAAGUAGAAUGUCUUUUAUUAGCAAAAAUGUUAGCAAACUUUGGCCAAGAAAGAAUUACAAGGAUAAGUAUAGGGAGACAAUGCCCAAAAAUGAACAAUCGGACAAUCAUGAUAACACAUCUUAAGGUUCUUUUGAAAACCUAACCAUCUGAUAUAUUUAACAACUUAGAGCUCCUCCGAAUUUGCUAGCCUCCAUGCCAAUGGAUUUUUAAAUUUGAUGCUGUAUUCUCCUUAUCUAAGUUGUCUUUUCAGGUUUUCAACUUAGAUAAACCCUCUAUGACUCAAACUGCCCUUUUAGGGUUUUCACCUUGAGUUCUCUUUUUUCAAUCACUUUUUUUUUCUUUUCAUUUCUUUUUUUUCCAUUUUUUUCAUUUUAUUUUUCUCUUUCUUUUUUAAGCAUAGUACUUCUUCACAGCAUUAGAAUUUAUAGGAUGAGAUAAAUCAUUUCCAUCAAUCUCAGUCAGUAUCAGUGCUUCACCCGAGAAAGCCCAUUUUACCACAUACGGCCAUUCUCAAUUCGAAGUCCAUUUUCCUCUAUUAUCGUGCUGGGUUAAGAGGAUUCUCUUCAAGAUCAACUCUCCUUCUCGAAAGCAAUAGGGUCAAACUUUUUUAUCAUGAGCCCUCAUCAUUCUUCUUUGAUAUAGUUGACUAUGGCACAAUGCAGUCAAUCUUUUUUCUUCUAUGAAAUUUAAUUGUUCAUAGCAUUCUCGAAUUCAUUCAGCUUCUUCUAAUUGAACUUCUUUUAGAACCUUUAAGGAUGAAAUCUUCACUUCUACUGGUAGUAUAGCUUUCAUCCCAUAAACAAAAAAAAAAGGGUUAACCCAGUAAACGUGUGCAUUGACAUUCGAUAUGCAUGCAGUACAAAUGGUAACUUCUCAUGUCAAUCUUUAUAAGUCUCAGUUAUCUUCUCAAGAAUUCUUUUGAUUUCUUGUUAGCUGUCUUAACUGCCCUAUUCAUUUUCGGACGAUAGGGUACCAAGUUAUGAUGCUUGAUUUUGUAUUACGCACAUAUUUCUUGCAUCAUUUUACUAUUUAGAUUCUUGGCAUUAUCUAAAAUAAUUCUCUCCAAAAGUUUAUAUCUACAGAUGAUCUCUUUCUUUAUAAACUUGCAAACUACAUAUCGUGUUACAUUUACAUAUGAUGCUGCUUUCACCCAUUUUGUGAAGUAAUCUAUCAUCAUAAAAAUAAACCUAUACCUAUUAGAAGCCUUUAGGGUGAUAGGACCAAUGACAUCCAUGCCUCACAUUGAAAAUGGCCAAAGUGGUACCAAAACAUGUAAAACAGAUGGUGAAGCAUAGAUCUUAUCAGUAUAUAUCUGGCAUUUAUGACAUUUACGAGCAUAGUCAAUGUAAUUACUCUCUAUUAUCAACCAGUAGUAUCAUACUUUUAUGAUCUAUCUCACCAUCAUAUGUCCACUGACAUAUGCCCCACAUAUUCCAUCAUGCACUUCUUCAAUGAUUUUCUUUACUUCAACUUUACUUACACAUUUUAGUAAUACUUGAUCACGACUUUUUUUAUACAGAACAUCCUCAUCUAGAAAAAAAACUUAUAACUAAUCUUCGAAUGACCCUGUUAUCAUUUUUUGUUGUUUAAACUAGGUAUUGUUGAUCUUUAAUAUACUGUAAGAUAUCAAAAUACCAGGGCUUCCCAUCCUCAUCUUCUUCUACAUUGGAGCAAUGAGCUGGCAUAUUCUUAACAUCUAGCCUGAUAGACUGAAUGUCAGUAUUGUCAUUAAUUCAAAUCAUUGCUACCAGAAUAGCCAAGACAUCGACAAUCAGAUUCUCUUUUCGAGAUAAAUGGUCAAACUAGAUAUCUUCAAACUACUUUAUCAACUAUAAAAUAUACUUAUGAUAUGAAACGAGUUUUGAAUCUCUCGUCUCCCAUUCUCCUUUCAACUGAUAUAUAACUAGAGCUGAGUCUCCGAACACUUUUAAUGCUUUCACUCUUCUAUCUAUAGCAGCUUGUAAACCCAUAACACAUGCCUUAUAUUUAGUGAUGUUAUUUGUGCAAUUAAAAUUUAACCUUGCUAUUACAAGAUAGUAUUAUUUUUUUGAAGAGAUAGAAAUCGUCCCAAUUUCGUGUCCCAAGGCAUUGGCAGCUCCAUCAAAAUACAUUCUCUAAUAUUUUUCUUCAUGCUUCCCCUUUUUUAGUUGGGAAACAGUCAUUAGAUCUUUAUCAGGGAAUUUCAAUCUCAUUGGUUCAUAUUCUUUAGUAGCACGAUUUGCAAGGAACUCCGUUAUAGCAUCUUAUUUUAUUACUUUUUGGCUUACAUAUAUAAUAUCAUAUUUCGAGAGCAUUACUUGCCAUAUAGUAAUUUUUUCAGAUAAAGAAGGCUUCUCAAAAAUGUAUUUAAUUGGAUCUAAUUUUACUAUGAGCCAUAUGGUAUGAUAGAGUAUAUAUUGUCUGAGUAUUUUAGUAGUGCAUGCUAAUGCACAACACAUUUUCUCCAAUGAGAAAUACUUGGAUUCAUAUUCUGUAAACUUUUUACUCAGAUAGUAAAUAGCUCUCUCUUUUUGGUUAGACUCAUCUUGCUGCCCCAGCACAAUCCCAUUGAAUUCUCACAUAUUGUUAAAUAUAGAAUUAAGGGUUUCUCUGAAACAAGUGGCACAAACACUAAAGGAUUUGAUAAGUAUUGCUUAAUUUUAUCAAAAGUCACUUGGCAUUCCUCAUUCCAUUGUCCAAGAUUAUUCUUACGGAGAAGCUUAAAUAUAGGAUCACAUUUGUAGGUGAGCUGAGAGAUGAACCGAGAAAUGUAAUUCAAUCUUUUCAAAAAACUUCAAACUUUCUUUGGUGUACUCAGAGGUGAUAAAUUUUGAAUAGCCCGUAUCUUAUCUGGAUCGACUUUAAUCCCUCUUUCACUGAUCACAAAGCCUAAUAACUUCAUUGACUUUACCCAAAGAUGCACUUGGCUGGGUUUACUUGAGCUAAAAUAUUCUUAAUCUCUCAAAUAACUUUUUAAGGUUGGUGAUAUGAUCUUCAUCUUCACGAGAUUUUACAAUUAUAUCAUCCACAUAUACCUCAAUCUCUUUAUGUAUCAUGUCAUGAAAGAGUGUCGUUAUGGCCCUUUGGUAUGUUACCUUAGCAUUUUUAAUCCAAAAGGCAUGAUUUUGUAACAAAAGGUUCCUCAUAUAGUCACAAAAGUAGUUUUUUUCAUAUCAUCUGUAGCUAUUUUUAUCUGAUUAUACCUUGAGAACCUAUCUAUAAAAGAGAAAAAAUUGAAUACCUAGCCAUGUUAUCUACUAGUGUGUCAAUGUAAGGCAAAGAAAAGUUAUCUUUUAUGCUAGCCCUAUUCAAAUCAUGAUAGUCUACAUACGUUCAUACCUUUUCAUCUUUCUUAAAAAUUGGUACUAUAUUAGCUACCCACUCUGGAUACUUAGCCACUUGUAGAAAACUUGCAUCAAACUGUUUCUUCACCUCUUCUUUGAUCUUUAGUAGCAUUUCAGGCUUCAUUCGCCUCAGUUUCUGAUAGACUAGCUUACAUUCUGGCUUUAGGGGUAAUUUAUGCUGUACUAUCUCUGUGCUCAGCCCUGGCAUAUCUUGGUAAGGCCAAGCAAACACAUUUAUGAAUUCUUGAAAUAGAUAUGCCAAAUGUUGUCUAUCUCCUAAUGAAUGUGAAAUGCCAAUUCUGACAUCUUUCAGAUUCACUAAGUCAACUAUCUCCUGAUAAGGCUCAAUUGGCUUAUUUUCUUAUUCAAUCAAUCUCAUUAGGUCUGAAGGCAUAACAUAUUCCUCAGAAUUCUCUUCAUUGUUAAGUUCAUCAAUGUUAAUUGAAUUCUCAAAACUAACAUCUUGAUUGCUAUCAUAAUUAUCUUCAUUUCAUUUAAGGACCUGAAAUUGAAUGAAAUGAGAUUGUUGACAAGAUGUAUUUGAGAAAAAUGAUAAUAAUGAAAACACAAGAAGAAAUGAAUGAAAAUGCAUCAUUCUUAAUCUUUAUUAGAAUAAUAAAAGAUAAAUGGCCCAAAUAAAAAAGAUCACUCCAAUGCCUUAUGCAAUAACUAUUGGGAUGUUCAAUUACAUUGAAUUAGUUUCAAAAGUCAAAGGCAUUUCAAUGGCAUUCCAAUUGUUUAACGCAUAAUCUGACGGACAAAGACAAACCCAUCCUUUUUGCUUAAGCCUCACUUCAUCUUCAAUAGCAUGGAUGGUUAACUGGGUAAAAGCUCUUUUCAUACUUUUUUCUGUAUCUGGGUACAUGAAUCUUCUAGAUCUGAAAGUCUCAUACAGGUAUGGAAUAAUUAUUAGUUUUACUAUUUUACCUGCUAACCUUAUCUUGAUUUCCCAUUUUACUACUUUAUAGCUUAGGCCUAGCUUUUCACUAUUGUCCACCACUGUUGGAGACUCCCUUAUUCCUUACAAGUUCUUGCCCAGUUCUACCCAUAAAUACCAGCCCUUAUGGAUGACUUGGCUUAUUACAAUCUUUGAAAAAGGUUGAUUUUUAAAUCUUUCACCCACAGAGUUGACCAGUUCAAAACAUCGAUAAGAACACUCCCCCACUUCUUCGACAGCUUUCACAUAUGGGGCAUUCGAAGGUUGGGUCACUAGCAUGUCUUCCUUCUCAAACAUUACCACUAACUGGCCUUCCAUAUUGAACUUAAUUUUUUAGUGAAGAGUAAAAGGAACAGCCCCUGUCAUGUGAAUCCAUGACCUCUUUAGUAGACAGCUAUAAGACGGAGAGAUAUUUAUUACUUGAAAUUUCACAUUAAAAAUGCAUGACCUAAUUUACAAGGGCAUCUUGAUAUCUCUUAAGACUUUCCUUCUGGUCCUAUCAAAAGCUCACACUAUCAUUUGACUAUCUUUCACAUGAGAGUAGUCGAUAGAUAGCCUUGCCAAAGUUGACAUAAGCAUGACAUUGAUAGCAAAGCCAUUAUCAAUAAGAACUUUAGUCAUGAUAUGGUUCUUGCAUUUGACUGUGAUAUACAGAGCCUUGGUACUUCCUCUUCCUUGUGGGGGAAUCUCAUCAUCACUGAAUGAAAUAUAAUUUGGCAUGACUAAAUUUUCAGCCAAAUGGUUCACAUAUUUAACAGAUACAUUAUGUGCCACAUAUGCUUGGUUCAAUACUUUCAGCAAAGCAUUUCGAUGUGAUUUUGAAUUCAAUAGCAGUGAUAAUAAUGAGAUUCAUGCUGGCAUUUUGUUCAAUUGUUCAACAACUAAAUAUUCACUAUGUUUUACCAACUUUAGGAAUUCACAAGCCUCUUUUUCUGACACUGAUAUCGAACAAUCCUCUUCAGGUUCCAUUUUAGGGUUAUUUCAUUCUUUUCCUACCUUAACUUUUUCUCUUCUAGCCUUUUUAAUAUUUUUAGAGUGUAGCAUCUUCCACUUCGAGUAAUGCCUCAUACACCAGUUAUAUUGGAGGCGUCAGCUUUAGAGACAUUCUCUUCUUACCCUUGAACUAUUGUAUCAUAGCCAUAUUUUUGGGGUACAACUUUAUCAUCUUUAUAUGAGAAUGAAAUCAAAACUUUAAAAGUUACCGACCUGAGAAUAAGUUUAUCUAGGACUAACUUUGGCUUAUCUCAUAAUGAAUCGUCAUCGACUUUGGAAACAGCUUUGCAGGUUUAUUUGUCAUGGAUACUUCAACACUUUUUGAAACUUUUCCCUUUUCAUAGACUUCAAAUUGGCAUAAAUCUAAAAGCUUUUGCACCUCUUGGUGAAACUACUCAAAAGUUUUGAUAGGGUGACCAUCUGUCUCAUUAUGAUAUUUACAACUAGUGCCUACUAUAUAUACUUCAUGAUAGCUGUAUAGACUCACUGGUUGUAUCAUGUCAGCUUUUUAUAAAAUAUCAAACAGCUGACUAAGAGGUGUUUUAAUAUCUGUCACUUUUUUUUGAUAGCACUCCUGUUCAUUACUCAAGGCAUUCACAUUGUGAUUAGGUAAAGGAUUUCACUAACAUUUGGUGCAAUUACCCCUCCUAUAUCAAAACUAAUCAUUCUAUCCUUGAUUAGUCAUUUCACUUUGUGUUUCAAGGUAGUACAAUUUUUAAUGGAGUGACCAGCGAUCCCAUAGUGAUAGUCAUAAUGGGUUGUAGGAUUAUACCACUUAAGGUAAGAUGGCUUGAGUGGCUCUGAUUUACUAGAAGCAAUCAGAUGACUAUUGUAAAGCUCACGAUAUAACUUUGUAUAGGUAAUAGGGAUUGGGUCAAAUACAAGCUUUUCACGAAUGGUUCGUUGCUCUCGAAAACCUCCCAUUAGGUUGGCUAGAUGGGUCUGAGGUCUUGAGCAGGUUGAAUGUUGGGACUGUAUGUGGCAUUCUGAGGUCUGAAGGAAUGUUGGUAUAUUUAGGGUACGAUAGCCGUGGGAUGGGUUGGUAUGGAUAAUGAGAUGUGUUAUUUAAUCAGGAUAAUAUGGGGGUAUCCUUGUGAUGGGUAGAAUUAAUAACCCCUGAAUUGUUGCCUAUCAAAGCUCACAGCUUGAGCUUCAGUCUGUUUCUAUUUCGGGGCUUUUUUAAUAAAUGCUUCACCUCUUUCUAGCUUAUCAUUCUUGAUAGCGCUCUCAAUAAUUUCUCUUAAAAUUAUCAUAUUAAUAAAAUUUUUAGUUGCAUUCUCUAUCAUCUUUUCAUAAUAGGGAGAUUUCAAAGUGCUACCAAACAGCACUAUAGUCUCUUUCUCAGUUAGAGGGGGUUGUACUUAAAAAGCUACAUCCCUCAAUCUCUGGACAUAUUCUUUAAAAGACUCAUUUACCUUUUUUUUCAGGUUCUGUAAAGACAAACGGUCAGGAGCCAGAUUCAUAAUAUGUCGAUAUUGACUAAUGAAAUUAUGAGCCAUAUCACUCCAAGAACGAAUGUGGGUUCUGUCCAGCUAGACAUACCAGUUGGCAGUAGAGCUUAUAAAAUUAUCUUGAAAAACGUGCAUUAAUAGUUUUUCAUUAUGGGCAUGGGCAGUCAUUUUUCAACAGUACAUAGUGAUAUAGGUUUUUGGGCACUUCGUAACAUCAUAUUUCUUAAAUUUUGGUACUUUAAAUUUUGAUGGAAUGACUACAUCGAGACUAAGCACAGCCUAGUAGUAUCAACAGAACCAUAAAAUCCAAUCCCUUCUAAGCACAGCCUAGUAGUAUCAAUAGAACCAUAAAAUUCAAUCCCUUCUAUGGCCGUUAAUCUUUGUUCAAGCAUACUAAUAUUUGAAUCUUCCUAAGACUCCAUCACUUUUGCUUUUUUUUUUUCUCUUUCAAGUCAUCUAGAUCAAGAACUUGAAUCGAUUCUACUAUCUUUUCAGUAAAGACAAGAUUUACAUUGCUAUGGUAAUGUUUAGAUUCGAAGUUGAUGGUAUUUUAGGGUAUACAGGAUAUGUGAACUAUUAUGGUAGAAUAUCCUGUGUGGGCUGGGCUUGUUGUGGACCAAAACCUGGAGGAUACAAAAGGUUGGCCACUUCUUAUGAUGGGGGCCUUAUUGGCUUGUAUUUUUUUUAUUCUUUUUCCUUUGUUUAGCUUAUUGAGGGCAUCUAGAAUCUUGCUCAACUCAUUUUCAAUCUUUUUCUAUGCUUUUUUUAGCUUUUUAAAUCUGUGAGAGUUUUUUUGCUCCAUUUGUCUGGCUCUGACUCUUAUGUUAUAUCGAUGGACAGAGUUUUCGCUAGAUGGAGCUAUCAUUGAACCUUGAAUACCGUAUCUUAGAAUUAACAAAUUUAUACGACUAUCUCAUGGUUACUUUGUUAAGUGUAAUGAGUGAAAAUGCAAUGAAUGAAAAUGCAUGUAUGCAAAGAACAUUUGCCUUAAGACGGUGCUUAACUAAAAGAUUUCAUUUAUUCCAAAGAACUUUUAUUUACAUUGAGUUUAUCAUCUUAGAGUUAUAACCAUAAAAUCAUUUGAUCUGCUCAUACUGGGCCUUGGCUUCCUCAAUGAAGUUUAAUAGACGCUACUUAUGUUCUCCCACUGAAGCUGCCAUUUGUUUUAAUGCCUUUGCCUUUUCUACCAUCUCUCUUGUCUUGCAUACCCCUUUACAAAUUUGGGUCGUUAGGUGCUCAAUGUACUUUUAUCUUCUUAAGUUCUCUCUUUUACCACACUAGACUUGGUAUGAUAACUCUCUAUGCUCUCUAACCAAUGCAGUAAUAUGGUCUUCUUGUUCAUUCAACUUUUGUCUCAACCUGCUUAGUUAGCUAUUCAACAUGUUAUUCUUUGUCUGUACUUGGUUACUUUUUUCUUCUAAUUUAGUAUAUUCUUAUUUUAAUCUUGCAUUCUCUUCAGUCAGCUCAACAAUUGUUAUCUCUUUGGCCCUUUCUCUCACACAUAAACUCUUAUGUUCUUGGUGUAGCUCUGCUAGGUCUUCAACAGCUGUAUCACGUUCUAUAGCAAUCUUGUAAUCUCUGGCUUCAUGUCUUUCAGCUCUAUCUUUCCACUGAUAUUUUUCUUCUCGAAGCUUUUAGAUUUUUUGCUUUAACUUAUCCCUUUUAAACUCAAAUUCUUUUGUUGCAAGCUCUAAUUCUGAUGGUGUCUCUUCAAGCUUUUCUCCUAUUGGCGAUUGAAAGCUUUCAUAAGUGAAUACCAUUUUCUAUCUUCAUCUUGCUCUCCAAAGUAAAUACCCUAGAGUGACUUUAUCAGUGAACGGUCCAUGACUCACUUUUCGAGGGUUUUUCCAUAUUUUAAUCAUCUCAUUCAUCCUCUGAAAUGCUUUUGGUUCACUGUAAGAAAAAUCUAACUGAUGAAGCCCAUACGUCAUAGAAAUAAACUAUUUUACCCCAAACUACCUUCUCACUAUGAGUGGUGCAUAACUUGUUGCUCCCCAUAAACCUAAAAAUGGGACCAUAGUAUUAUCCCCACACUGAUACAACAUAGGUUCACGAUUCAUCCAUGGGACUAACCAUCUUACUUUGGUAUUGGUCAAUUUUUGUAAGAAAGCUAUCCAUAUCUUUUUAGACUUUUGUUCUGACCACCUACUUUCACAGAAUUCCUUGAUCAGAGCUCAAUUACGGAUGUAAAGCUUUGAGAAAGCACUUUUUCUCCAUUCGAAGUGGCUUUUCAUCCAUAAGUAUAAUAAUUGUAUGCAGCCUAUAAAACACAUUCUAUUUCGACGACAAUAACUCAAAGAUCUGAUAGUUUCUGCUAAUAUUACUGUUGAAGGGUUACAACCAUUGAUCACACUCUCAAAGAAGUCAACCACCGCUAUUUCAAUAUAACCCAAAACUUUUAAAAAUAUCAUCAUUCCGUAUAUAGCUAAGGCAAAUACAUCUAACCCCCGUUCUUCGUUGGCAUGUUACACUAGAAACUCAUGAAAGAACUUUCAAGGUAGGCAAACCUGUUCUUGUUUUUUCUUUUUAUGAGAAUCCACAACUUCUUUGUAUAUCCCCAUAAGUCGAGGCAAACCCUUACGAAAUCCUGACUUGUGUUUUUUGACAUAUAUCUUAUCAAGAGCCUUGAGGUGCAAACCUAAUAAAGUUGAAUAUUCUUCGAUGGUUGGUGUUAUAUCAAUUUCAUUGAAGAUGAAAUACUUGUAUGCAGGAUCCCAGAAUUACGCUGUAGCUUCAAUUAGUUGAUCGUCAAUAACUACUAUGAGAAGGUGUGCUAUAUGCCCGUGUCUCUGGUAAAACUUUUCUUAUCUAGCUAGGCUCAUCUUCUUUCAUAUAUCAACCAAUUCUUCUAGAUUAUUUUGUUUGAGAAGGAUAGAUGUUUCUUGAGAUAAGGUAGAAUCUUAGUCGAUUGGUAAACAAUCCCUCAUCUUUAGUUGCAUCUUUUCUAACUAGAUUUUUAUUUCAUUAGGUAGCUCACAAAAAGCUAAUACAUAUGAGGAGCAAACUAAUCAUUCUGUGGAGUUCAUGAAAAAUUUUUUGUUGAAGAUCAUCUUUUAAGUAAAUGUUCUUUAUGCAACUUUAUGAUAUGAGUAUGAAUCAAUGCAAAAAAAUGAGAGAAAAGGUUAGUAUGCCAAAAAAAAAAAGAAUAAAUAAAUAACUAAGUAAAAUAAAACAUCACACAGAAUAAAAUGAAUGAACCCUAUGCUUUUGGUCAAUUCUAAAAGGGAAUGAUGAUGGCUCUAUCUAUAGGUUAGACACUCUUAAGGUUCACUAUAUGUGGUUUGAGGUUAAAGUUAAAAGGUUCCCAAAUUGCUCCUUACAUCAUUAUCCAUCACAGACUAAUAAGGCACCAUAAUCCUCACCCAUUACAGGUUACAAGCAAAAGAGGUUCAAUUUGAGUGGGAGUAUUUCGCUAGCCACUGUGGAGGUAUUAAACCUCACGAAAGCAAUAGGUACUUUACUCCCUUCUAGAGGGAUAGAGCUCGGGUAUAGAGCUUAUGUUAUGCAUAUGCAUAUGAAUGACAUAAUUAAUAAAGUAAAUAAACAUGAAUGAAUAAAAAAGAUCUAUACAAAAAGGUUCAAUUUUAUUAGGCUUUUGGAUAACAUAAAUUUAUUUGUUGGCCUGACUCUCAGCGACGUCCCUAGUGGAGUCGUCAAGCUGUAAUAACAUCUAGAUCUGGAGAUCCAUCGCUAGACAUUGAUUUAAAGAGUCGCCACCAAUCUUUUUUAUCUAGGUGCGAUUGGCCACCUAAGAAAUCUAUCAUUUUAAGAAACACCUAAGCCUAAGGGUCCCUAAGAGAAUAGGUUCAGGUCUACUAAUCAGAACAGGGUUCGAGAGUACGGUUACGUGUGAGAAAGAUUAUAGCACCCUCACAACGCCCAUCGAAAGAUGAUACCAGCUUAAUUUUGUGUUAUCCAAUAAGCCUUAAAAAUUUAUCAAGUAAUUAAUUAUUAAAAAUUAUUCUCAAUUAACUCUAAUACUUUUAGCAAAAAAUUGAAAAAAUUCUCUCACCUUAAGAGUAUGCAAGAAAACUACUAUUUCACUUGUAGAGGCUUCAUCGUCAGAAUAUUUAACAGUAAAGAAAAUUCAAGAAAAAAAAGGAAAAGAAAUAAAAUGAAAAAAAUGAUUAAGUUUUAAAUAUAAAUCCUUUUCUCUUCAAAAACUCAUUGCUUUUAUACAAGAAAAAUUGAUACUUUCAACUGUUCCUCAAAAAUGUAUUUUUUUGAAAUUUUAUUUAAAGAAAAUCAAAAAAUAAAAUAAAAUAAAAUAAAAAUAAAAAUAAAAACAAAAUAAAAUAAAAUAAAGAAUACUAAAUAAUUCUAAUCUAAUCAGUAAAUUAUAAUAAUAAUAUAAAUAAUAAUAAUAAUAAUAGAAAUAAUAAUAAUAAAUAAUAAAAAAAAACCUUUGGAACGGCUCGGUUUGGUUGGGAAAUGGCUCGGCUUAAGAUAGUAAAUGUGGCUUGAAGCUUGAAGAUGUCAGCUCGGCUCGGUUUGGCUCCAGGGAUCGACUAGCAUGUAGGUUGACGAAUCGGGUGACGAUCGAAUCGGGUUAGCCCAAACAAAAACAUGCGGAUCCUGGUAACGUACUAACACUAAAACGACGUCGUUUUACCGAAGUAUAAAAGACAAAGAAUGAGUUUUUUCUUCAAAUGCGCCUUCCUCCUUUUCUCUCUUCUCUUUUUUUUCUUUUUUUUUCUCUCUACCCGAAGAACACAACCCAAAAUCUGGUUGAAUUUCUAUCGGAUUCUGAAAAAUAACGUCGAAAACUUCAAAGUUGGCUGAAAAACUUGUCAAAAAAUUUAAGGUUCGUAAAAAAAUUUCAUCGGAUUCUGAAAAAUUUUUAAAAAUUUUCCAGAAAAAAACUUCAAAAAUUCUAAAAAACAUUUCACAAAUUCCUAAAGUUGUGUAUCUAACCCACCAGAACCUUUUUUAGCUUCUGUUUUCUCUCUGUGUGUGUUUUUUCGUGUUCCCUUGGAUUCUGUUUCAACACCUAUUUAUAUGGAUUGAUCAGAAGAGUUUCUGAUUAAUCUCAAUUCCUUUUGGGAUUUGGAUUCAAUCUUUGAAUUCAAUCCCAACUCUCCAGUCCCCUGAUUUACGGCCAAACUCCCUUCUAGAACCAAGAAUUAUAAUUAAAACAGAAUUAAGACCGGAUAAACGAACCAAAAAAAUAAUAAUAGAUAAAUAUACAUUGAUAUAAAAAAAUAUUAAUAGAUAAAUAAAAAAAAUAGAUAAAUAUAAAAAAAUACAUUAAUAGAUAAAUAAUAAAAACGUAUAUAUAUUAAUAGAUAAAUAAAAAAGAUUAAUAGAUAAAUAAUAAUAAAAAAUAUAUAUUUAUAAAUAAAUAAAAAAAUUAAAAAUAAAAAUGCAAAUGGACUUACCAAUUUGGACCAGGCCCAAUUGAUCCGGGCCGGACCAAAUUGGGUGUCUAUAAUGUUGAUAUAUACUUUAUGCUAUAAAUACUGAUUUUGAAUCAUGUCACCAGUUGAAAAUAGUGAUUUUUGCUCACUGUGCCAUUAAUAAUAUACUUUUGUCCUAUUGCACUAAAGGGUUACUAUAAUUUUUGUUCUAUCCCAUUACAUUAAUGGGUUAAUUAUGAUUGUCAGUGUAAUGAUUUAGUUGCUUCUGAUAUAUUUCUGUCUUAUUACACUAAAAGAAAAUUUUUGAUUUCGACUUAUGCCACAAGAGUUAAGUGUGGUCAUAGUAUUUUACGGGAGACUAAAUGAAUUAUAAUUUUGUGAUAUUUGAUUCCAUUUUGUGAUAUGAGAAUUCGGUUUUGAAAAUAUGUUUAUGAAUACAAGAUUACCCAAAAUAUUUUUGAAUCAUUUAGCUAAUGUUUUGGCUUGAAUGUUUUAUGGCAUACUUAAUCCUACUGAGGGGAUGUUGAGUACUUGUUGAGACAUCUUACUCAUUCCUUUAUUUUUUUUUACUUUUUUAGAUUUUAGUGUUUGUGUCUUGGGAGACUGAAUCUUGACAAUUACUUGGAUUAGUAAAAUUAGCAUCUGUCUUUAGAUUGAUAUUCUUUCAAAGUGAGUAUUUUAUUAUUGAUUCUAAAAGAUUUGUUAGUAAGAACUUUAGUAUAUUCGACCAACUUGCAAAAAGUAUAAUUUUAUAGACUUAAGAUUCUAUAAAGUAUUAGUUUAGAGAUUAUUAAAGAUUUUAAUUUGGUUUGGUAUCUGUUACCUUGUAUACUUAUGAGAUUCAUCUCACGAGUAUGUAGUGUUAGUACAUUCUAAAUCUUCGAGUUUGGGGCUUGACAUAUUGAACCCCUGGAAUUUGCCUAGUACAAUCAAAUAGAAGCAUUUCUAGAAAAGAAAUAUAACAUGUAUAGUGUUUAAGAGAAUAAAACUUUCGACAUAUAGGUUUGAUUUUUAUUUUAAUAAUUAUAUUUAUUUAUGCUACAAUCAAGUACAUGCAAAAAGUGAGAUAUAUUAGUCUAAAAUUUAAUUCAACUGAUUUAUAAAAUUAUUUUAAAAAUUAAUAUUCAAUUAAAAUUUAGAUCUCAAUACUUGUAUUUUCUUCUUUUAUUCCAAAUAACUUCUUUUAAAAGGAAAGAAUGAGUCAUGUGGAAUUUUUUUGUUGACUUUUUAUGAUUUGUUAAUCUACCUCUAGUCCACUUUUUUAUAGUACACUAUUAAUUUAAUAACCACCGCACCGCUUAAAUAAUCUUAACCUUACAAUUAAAGAGGUAAAACUUUUCCAUAGCUAAGAACUUAAGUAACUUCUUGGUCAUGAAAAUAGCAAUCUCCGUAUUAAAAUGUUAAUCAUGAAAUUAAAUCAUUAAUCCUAUUGCAUAAUUCGUUCAAUAUGAACUAAUCUAAUGGAACAUAUAUCUAAAUUUGAAUAUCUAUGCAAAAACAAUAAGCAGAUGAUUUUUAAGUGAUGUAAAAACUUGUGAAUUUUGAAAUUUAACAUUGUUAAUUUAUGUAUGUAGUUAUUUUUGGAGAUAAUAUUUAAUAAAUUUAAUAUUCAAAUCUUAACAUUUUUUCUCAUUUUAAAAUUAUGAUUUUCUUUCGUAACAAGAAAAAAAAAAACAAAAAAUAAUCUUUUAUCUAUAACUUUAAACUGAUGAAUUUAAACUGCUAAGACUUUGCAGGCAUAUUUUCAUUGGCAAAGUUUAUUUACAUUCAUUUCAAAAGUAGAGAAAAAAGGCCAUUUGGCCUAACAAUCAAUAUCAUAUUGAGCAACUUCGCAAUAGAUGAGCAUUGGCCUCCGAUCUGCCCAACAACUAAUUUAUUGAGGAACUGGCAAAGCUUGAGGCAAGGCCUGGUUUGAUGCUGAAAUCGUUUGCAAUUUGCAGUCAACAGAGAUUAGUUGAGCAGAGUUAUCCUUGUUUUCCUCAACAGAAAUCAUGUUGAUUAUUUGUAGCAAACACGCUCGAGCCCUUCACCAUCACUCCAUUCAUGAAUCUCCGCCUUGAUGAGCGAAAGGUUCCCGCAAAUUAAAUCCCACACUGGAAAAUUCUUCCUGGGCAUCAUAUAGUCUGCUUUUCCAAGCCUUAGACUUGGGCAGUAAUCACCGGUACCAUCUCCAAGGUAGAUGAUUUUUUUCUUACCCUCUAAAGAAGCUUGAAUCCUUUCAAUGAUCAUCCCGUUACACAAAGCAGAAGCCAAAGUUAAAAUUGUUGACAUCUUAUUUCAUGAUUGUCAUUAAAUUUAUAUGAUUGUUGACCUAUGUCAAGAUCUUGGGUUUGUUUAUGACCUUACAUGAGCCAUUACUUUAAUAGAUUAAGUGGGGUCAAGAAAAGAAGUUGACAUAUCUAAAAUGAAAAUAGAUUUAAAAAAUAAAGAAAUAAAUAAAAACUCCAAGCAAGUUGGACGAAUUUAACUCUGUACAUGUGGAAUACCAUCAAGUAAUAAAAUUUUCUAGAAAUUUUCACUUAGUAUGAAAAAUUUAGGUCUUCCUACAAAAGUUUGGUGUCUUGAUUUAAAAUAUUUACAAUUGUGAUAUUCAUGAAAUUAAAUCUCAUGUUACUGAUGGAAAACAUAUGAUACCUUGCACAUAUUUGGGGGGCAGAGGUUGCAGCCAUGAGAACUCUUGGUGAAAUCAUGGUAAGGAAUGAUCCUCAGCCUCCCUUCUUCAUCAACAAAGCCGG
rnacentral:lncRNA from 1 species